AGUGGCGGACGGGUGAGUAACACGUAAGAAUUUGCCUUUAGGAGGGGGACAACAACUAGAAAUGGUUGCUAAUACCCCAUAUGCUUUCGAGUGAAAUGGAUUUUUCCGCCUAGAGAGAAGCUUGCGGCUGAUUAGCUUGUUGGUGAGGUAAUGGCUCACCAAGGCGACGAUCAGUAUCUGGUUUGAGAGGACGACCAGACACACUGGAACUGAGACACGGUCCAGACUCCUACGGGAGGCAGCAGUGGGGAAUUUUCCGCAAUGGGCGAAAGCCUGACGGAGCAAUACCGCGUGAGGGAUGACGGCCUAUGGGUUGUAAACCUCUUUUUUCAGGGAGGAAUCAAUGACGUGUACCUGAAGAAUAAGCAUCGGCUAACUCCGUGCCAGCAGCCGCGGUAAGACGGGGGAUGCAAGUGUUAUCCGGAAUCACUGGGCGUAAAGCGUCUGUAGGUGGUCCAAUAAGUCAACUGUUAAAUCUUGAGGCUCAACCUCAAAAUCGCAGUCGAAACUAUUAGACUAGAGUAUAGUAGGGGUAAAGGGAAUUUCCAGUGGAGCGGUGAAAUGCGUAGAGAUUGGAAAGAACACCGAUGGUGAAGGCACUUUACUGGGCUAUUACUAACACUCAGAGACGAAAGCUAGGGUAGCAAAUGGGAUUAGAUACCCCAGUAGUCCUAGCCGUAAACAAUGGAUACUAGAUGUU
rnacentral:rRNA from 1 species